ACGAUGUACACUAGUUGUUGUGAGGCUCGACCUUGCAGUAAUGCAGUUAACACAUUAAGUGUACCGCCUGGGGAGUACGGUCGCAAGAUUAAAACUCAAAGGAAUAGACGGGGACCCGCACAAGCGGUGGAGCAUGUGGUUUAAUUCGACGAUACACGAAGAACCUUACCUGGACUUGACAUAGUAAGAAUGAUUUAGAGAUAGAUUAGUGUCUGCUUGCAGAAACUUGCAUACAGGUGCUGCACGGCUGUCGUCAGCUCGUGUCGUGAGAUGUUGGGUUAAGUCCCGCAACGAGCGCAACCCUCGUCCUUAGUUGCUAACAGUUCGGCUGAGAACUCUAAGGAGACUGCCUACGCAAGUAGGAGGAAGGUGAGGAUGACGUCAAGUCAUCAUGGCCCUUACGUCCAGGGCUACACACGUGCUACAAUGGGGUAUACAAAGAGCAGCAAUACGGUGACGUGGAGCAAAUCUCAAAAAUGCCUCCCAGUUCGGAUUGUAGUCUGCAACUCGACUACAUGAAGUUGGAAUCGCUAGUAAUCGUAGAUCAGCUAUGCUACGGUGAAUACGUU
rnacentral:rRNA from 1 species